rnacentral:lncRNA from 1 species
AAUAGAUGGGCGAACGUCGGCCAACUUUUUUAACUUCGGUACCCAAAAAUCUUCUCUCUUCUUUCUUAUUCAGUCAGUAGCUUCAUAAAAUCUUAAUCUUUUAUAUAGAUUGAACAGAAAUAAAAUAGCAAAGAUUUACAAAAAAAAAAUGCAGGAGAAAAAGAAGUGCAAAGAGCUGGUGAAGAAGACAACAGGUUGGUGGAGUAUAUCACGCGAUGUGCCACGUAAGUAAAAAAGAAUUGGAUGGAUCAAAAUUCAGGUGGGUUAGGGGUCUGAUAGGUACAGGCCUGAGUUUAGGGGUUUAAAUGAAAUUUUGGGAUAACUUUAAGGGGCCGUCGAUAACUUAACCCUAUGAAAUUAUAAUUUAAAUUUUAAAUUGAUAUGAAGUUAAAGAUUUAUUUACAAAUGCAAUUUGAAUUUUUUAGGUUGUAUUUUUUUCACAAAAAUGAAACCACCGAAGUUGUGAAUAUUAUCAAAAAUUUCAUUUUUUAAUCUUACCAAAUAAGCAAAUUAUAUUCAUAAAUAAGAUAUCAAAAUAUCCAAGUUAAUUUCUUGAAUUGCACUCAACUCAUAGAAGUAUCUCACGAAAGUAACUUUUGAUCUUUUUAGGACAAUAUUGUCACUCAAUUUGUAGGAAUAUCUCACUAAAGUAACUUUUUAAUUUUUUUGGAACAAUAUUGUCACUGAACUAUACAUAUAUUUCCAACAGGGUGAAAACUAAUGAAAAAGUUAAAUUUAUAACGAAAUUUUAUUCAUACAUAUUUUAAGCUAUAUUUUUAGAUCAAAUACCCAUUAAUUAUGUAAAAUUUAUUUAAUUCAUUUUAAACGUAUCUUUAAUAAAAUAAAUUAUAUUUAUGUAAUUAGAGCAAAAUGAUGGUGCAAUCUUUCAAUUAAAAGAUAUACAUGUGUCUUUUAUUUUUAACAAAACUUUAUACAUUUAUUAUUUUAGUUUUCUUUUUUUGUUUAAAAUUCAAUCUAAUUAUAGAAUAUAUGGUACAAAUGUGCAAAGAUGAACAGUAAUUAUGCAUCACUGAUAUUACUUUUUUAGCUAUUGUUUAUUUUCUAUUAAGAGAAACUUCUUAAAUACUAAAUCUUUUUAAUUGUAAAGUUGAAAUUAGUAUGUAGGUGAAAAAAAGGAAGAAAGAUCCUAUGACUUAUUAUUAAAAUAUUAUUUUUAAUUGCACCUCCAUUUUACUCUAGUUAACUUAAUAUAAUUCAUUUUAUUAAAGAUAUGUUUGGAAUAGGUUAAAUAAAUUUUAUAUAAUUCAUUAAUAUUUAAUUUAAAUAUAGAAGUUAAAAUAUAUAUGAAUAAAAUUCCGUUAAAAUUUUAACUUUUUUCGUAAGAUUUCACCCUGUUGAAAAUAUAUGUGUAAUUCAGUGAUAAUAUUGUUCAAAAAAUUUUAAAGUUACUUUAGUGAAAUGUUCCUACAAGUUAGAAUGACAAUAUUGUUCUAAAAAAUUCAGAAGUUACUUUAAUGAGAUAAUUCUACUCCCUCCGUCUCAAAUUAUUUGUCCCAAAUUUUCUAAUUUGAUUUUUCAUUUUACUUGUCUUUUUUCAUUAAUCAAGAAGAGACGAAAUUUUUUUUUCAUGUUUUACCCUUUGCAUUAAUUACGUUUUUUUCAAAUUAAAAUGUAAACAUCAUUUAAUAAGGGUACUAUGGUAAAGUAGUCAUAUUAUUAAUUAUUUUUCUUAAUCAAUGUGUCAUCUCAAUUUGGAACGAAUAAUUUAGAAUGAAGGGAGUAUAAGUUGAGUGACAAUCCUAUUAAUAAACUGCAUAUCUUCAUGUUUCUUUUAUAAAUAAAAGUUUGUGAUUACAAAAUUUUCAGAUACACAUAAUUUUAUAAAAAUGUACUAUUCAAUAAUAAUAGUAACUAGUUACCAACAUAAGUUGUGGUGCAGCGGAUGGGGAUGCUCCACCCUUAAUCAGAGGUCGAGGGUUCGACCCUGGACAUUGAGAAAAACUCUGUUCCCCGAAUGGAGCCCUACCCAACACGAAUCCGGAUUAGUCGGACUCUAAUGCGGGUACCAGAUACCGAAUGGAAAACCAAAAAAAAUAGUAAAUAGUUAUUUUAUAAUAUAUCAUUUCACAUUACGAAUAAUUUCUUCAUGUUGAGCAUGGUUUUUUAUUUUUUAGUUUUUUGUAACAUUUAAAAUGAUGAUAUAUUUUUUCUUUCAAAAUAUAAUUUAUGGGUCAAAUUUUAUAUUUUAAAAUUUUCAAAUCAUGAUUUUAAAAAUUUAAAAUCAUGAUUUCGUCAUGAACCCAAAUCAUAUGUCCAAACAUUAAUUUAAACUCAUAAUUUCAUAUCGCAUUUUCUUCGAGGAGCUAAUUAUACUGCAAAUGACAUCACAGUAUUAAAGUUGUUUCUGGAAUUCUGUAUCUUUUCAUGCUGCUGGUUGACAUACAAUUGCAAUUGUGAUCAAGAUAUAAAUUGUAAGAAUGAGAAAAUAGUUGGUAUAAUACCGGAUAUCUUUAGAUUUCUCCAAAACUUUUAGGCCAAAAACAAAAAGAUAUAUUUCUCAAAAAUAACUUCAAGUUCUACUGUAAAAGACACCCUUUUGUGAAAGGGGAAAAAAAAAUCUGAUCUUGAAAAAGUUGGGCCAAACACGUUAAGCAUUUAAUAACUUUUAACUUUUUUUAAAUUAUUUGUUUAUGCUUAAUUUGGCACAUUUCUUAAAACUAGACAAAAGAGUUCGUGCUUGCACGGUUUAAUAAUAUGCUACUAUCUUUUGUGAUACAAAGGAGAGUCGGUCAAAUUUUUUAUAUAAUUUUUAAAUAUUUUAAACUGUUGGUUAUAAUGAUAUAUAAUAUUUUUUUAAUAGAUUUUAGAUAAUAUAUAUUACUCUCGCUGUUUUAAUUUAUGUGACACAAAUAAAAUUCGGAGAGUCAAUCAAAUUUUUUAUACAAUUUUAAGAUUUUUGAAUGAUUUUUAAAUAUUUUAAGUUGUUAAUUACUGUGAUUUAGCUUCUACACAACUUUCAAAUAAUAUAUGUUAUUCUCUAUGUUCCAAUUUAUAUGAUACUGAUGAGAUUAAGAGAGUCAAUCAAAUUUAUAUAUAUAUAUAUUACGUAUUUUUAGUUGUUAUUUAUUGUGAUUUAUUUUACUUGCUACUAAUUAAUUUUUCAAUAAUAUAUAUUACCCCCUCUGUCUUCUGUAACUAAGAUAGUAUUUGAGAAAUAAAUCAAAUUUUUCAUAUGUCGUUAAAUACUUUAAGUUGUUAAUUAUUGUAAUUUAUGAUAAUUUUUAUAUCAUUUUCAAAUAAUGCAUCUGACUUCGUCUAUCACAAUUUAUGUAAAACUAAUAGAAUUUUGAGAGUCAAUCAAUUUUUUUUAUGUUUCUUAAUUUUGUAAGUCAUUAAUUAUUAUAAUUUAAAGUAAUUUUGUGUAACUUUUAAAUGAUAUUAAAUUAAAAAAACACAAUAAACAAAUUAAAACAGUGAAAAUAAAAAUUUAGAAAAAAGAGAUGACGAAAGUUGGUUGGAUGACCUCCAUCUGCUUCCUAUCGCUCUUCUAUAUAAUAGAAAAACAAUAAAAAAAAAAAGGGUAAUUUUAUUCACCAUUCUUAUUAAUUACUCUUUUUGUCCGUUUUAAUUCACUCCUAUAUUAAAAAUAGUUGUUUCAAAUCACUCCUUCAUUUCAUUUUUAUUGCAAUUUUGAAAAAAUAUUUAUAUCAAUUUAGUUGUUCAGAUUAUGAAAUUGAUAGAAGUUUAUUAUGUUUUUUCAAUAUUAUCUCAAUCAUUAAAUGACUGUGUUUAGUGUCUUUAUAUUUUCAAAACGUAAAUAAUUAGGCUAUUUUAGUAAAAUAAAUCCCCACUAAAUAUUUUUUUAAGGAAGGAAUCAAGUCAACAAGGGUCAAUAAAAUAAAAAGGAAGGAGUACUAUUCCAAUUUAUGAUAUUAAGGGAAUUUUGUUAUAUUCUUUCAUUUUUACCCUUAGUAUUAAAUAAAAUAAAGUAAUAAUAAUCAAAUUAGAGUUUCAAAACAUUAUUAAUAAGAUUAUAGUAAAAUACACCCCUAAUUUAAAAAAAUUUUUAAGUGGUGUGCCAAGUCAAUAAGGAUCAAAUAAAAUAAAACGAAAGGCAGAUAAAUUAUUUAAAUAUAAAAAAUAAACAGUAUUUAAUAACAAAAAUAAAAUAGACAUAUAAUUCUAAGUUAUCUCUUAGUUUUUUAAAUUGGACAAGUAAUAUUGGAUAACUAUUUUUUAGUUUACUAAACAAAAAAAAAUGGAGGAGAGUGUGUUGUCACGCCCCUAGCUUAGCCUAGACAGGGCGGACAAGAACCGUAUGAGCAUUAGCUAUGUGACUGACAUAUAUACUACGCUGAGGAGUUAUAAUUUACAAACAAUGAUAAAGGGAUAUGUACAACUCAAUUCUAUCUCAUUGAACACUAUUUGAUAUAAACAUAUGGAACUAUGACCACGUAUGAGAACUUAUCUCGGUCUACGAAGCUCUAAGAGAAAUUAUAACUAUACUGAAGAAGGUGGCCGGGGCAGGGGCCCUACAUACCCAAACUAUAACUAGAAAUACGAUUAAAUAAUACUCGACAUUUAAUAGCCCCAGAUAAGAGAGGAGCUCACCGACUACUUUGUUGAUUACGAACAAGUGUCUAGUAUAGAAGUUUACUCAUCAAUAUACCUGAUCCUGCAUUUAUAGAAAUACAGUGCCCCCAAACGUAGGGACGUUAGUACAUAUAAAAUAUAUACUAGUAUGUAAAGUAGACAGAAUAACAAGUAAACGUAUAAGGAUGCUCAAUAAGUCAAACAAUAGAAUGAGCAGUUGCGGACGACUGAAUACUAAAACCUCUUAUAUGAAACUAUAAACUAUGAAAUAACGGGUGACAAAUACACCAUAUAAGACUAUUACCUAUGUAUCUGCCUUAUUAACUUAUCAUGUAACCGUUUAUGAGUAAAUCAUCGUUAUUAAGGGCCUAGUAAUUUACCUAAGUGAUAUCCUGUGCCUAAUUUUAAUACAAAUAUCAUAUGAUAGCCUACCAAGGACAUUUUAUAUCAAGUGUACCAUAUGCGUUACCCAGAUAUUCCUGACUAUAAUUUUAUACGUAUAACUGUAAUCGCGGUAUGAUACAGGAUACGCCCCUCCUUGGGGAUUAUUAUAAAGGUUUGCUCGCAGGCAAUAUGUGUCAUUUAUUGACUCGAGUCAAGGGCACCCUAGCUGACUCCAAAUGCAAAUGAUGCUAGAAGGGCGGGUACGCCACAAUGUUUGGACUCACUGUAGUGGUAUGGUCAUAAUUCUGUGCACAGAAUUACGAUGCGCGUGUUCCAAGAAAAAUCUAAUUUCCUCCCUCGAUAAUGAUAAAGCUUUAACAUAUACUGCCUUAUAGGCCCAAGUAAAUUAUAAUGAUGGUUAUUUAUCCAGAUAGAUAGUAUUCCAUAUACAACUAACUUUCUUAAUAUGAUCCAUCUAUUUAAACGCUAGUCCUGUCAUUAUAUCAACUUAUGAUGCGUCGCUACGUGGCCAGCUAUACUAGUGAAGCUAUGUUAUGGCCAUUUACUUUAAUUUAUAGCAUGCGACACCUAUACACCGUGGGACUUCUAAGAAUUUCUGAUGAAUACGAGUAUUAUCAGGCGUAACUCUAUUGAUACUUGGCUUGACAAGAGAAACAUGAAUAUUGUUAUUUCAACAAAUAAAUAUAGAAAAUGUGAAGGUGGGAAAUUCAAAUGGAACGGACGUGUAGAUAUUGAGGGCAUAUUAGGCAUGUCGGUAUGGGUUAAACAUAUAGAAAGUGAAGGCUCUAUUCAACUAUUCAAAUAGGCUAUAUUGACUCUUUUAGGAGAAACAAAUGACAAUAAGAUUGUGUCUUAAUAACGAAGGAAAUUUUAGCUUUACAUACCUUAGUGCUUAUUUAGCUAUGAUAGUAUUUUGGGUCCCAAAUAACUCAAUCCGCGGAAGUACAACUUUUAUCUUUCCAACCAGCAACUUCUGCUAUUCACUAGGCAAUUCACUAACUACAAAGGUAACAUAUGUGUCCAUUAGUAACUCGUAGGAACAUUUAACAAUUUAAUUCAACACUCUUCGAUUACACCCGAAAUCAAUGUAAUUUCUUAACGAUGAUUCAAAAUGAAUUCCAACUUUUUCAACUAAUGCAAUACACCAUUAAGUCAACCAAUUGAUAGAAAUCCCUAAAAGGCCCUGCUUUCUUGCAAUUUCCCCUUCUCAAGAACUCACUCCGAAAAGAGUGCAAGGAUUCAAUUAAACAACAAUCAAUAACUAAUUUUACAUCUCAACAUAUAUUCUAUAAUUAAAUUCAAGUAUGGAGUAAAUAAAAAUUACCUUUUGGUGAAUUAACCCCAACUUGAAUCCUUGAUAGAAUUUAAGAAUUUCUCAAAUAAAGACUAACUUAGGGUUGUAGCGAUAUGCCUCUCAUGCGCAGAAAUUCCUUCGUACCCCUUAAUCCUCCACCUGAUUCUUCAAAAUAAUUUUCUUUUCUUUUUGGUGGGAAGCAGAGAAAUAGAGGAGUAAGAAACGAGAGGUAAAGGUACAGGGGAGGGCACACUUAUUUGGUUUCUGAAACACUUUCAGUUAAAGUGUUAAUGCCCCCACCCCUUUGCACUAAAUAUUAUAAUAAUCAUUUGCUUAUUGGAAAUUUUAUAAAAUAUUUCCACCACUUUCUAAUAUUAGCAUCUUAGUGCAAAUAAAGAGCACACUUUAAUUUUCUUACCAUCUUUCGCACAAUAAUAUAUUGUACAAAAUAUAAUUCCUUAUCAAGUAUGUACACACCACUUAAUAACCCUUCAUAGAUCAAAAAUUGUACUUAUUUAAAGUACUAAAUUAAUUUAUUUAUUUUCUUUACGCAUUGCAUACACUAUAUUUACACACACACAUAUAUAUUCACACAGAGAAUAAUAUAAUUUUCUUUAAAAUAUAUGUACCACGUAAAUCUCUACGAAUUAAGAAUUAUACUCAUCUAAAACAUUAAAAUAAAUUUUAAAAUUAAUCGAAGCGUUACAUGUGUGUACAUACAUACAUACAUACAUACAUACAUACAGACAGACAUAUAUAUAUAUAUAUAUAUUGUACUAAGAUAUUUGGAGAUUAUGUCUGAAUCAGAGAAACUGAUAUGUCCUUACAAAAAGGGCCACUUAUAUAUAUUCCUACUUAUCUUUUUUAUAUUUUUUUUAAUUUAACAAAUAUAAAAUUUCACCUUAAAAUUAAUCAUAUUUAAUUACCUUCAUCAUUAAUGAUAUUUAUAUCAUUUUCUUAAAUUACACAUUCUCCUUUCUUUGUUCUUUUUUAGUCUCCUUUAUGUAUUUGAUCCAAGGAAUUAGGUAUUGUAAUUUAUAACUCUACAGACCUUGCAUUAUUUCUAUAGAAUUCGAUUCAUCUUUUCUUAAAAAAAUAAAAUUAGAUAAUUUUCUAACUCCAGUAAGGUAUUUUUCAUUCUUUUUAUUAUAAAGUUUUCUUCUCCUUUUUAAAAUUUUUUAUUCAAUAAAUCAACUUUUCACCUUCCAUAUAAUUGUCUUCUUAAUAUAUAUCUUAAUACACAUUAUGUGCUCUUCCAUCUUCUCCCGUCCCGAAGUUGCUAAUUUUUUCUUCAUUUCCUUGGCAUUUAUUUAUCAUUAAUCCCCUAUUAUUAAAUAUAUGAACAUAAUGGUGCAAUUAUAUUUCAAAAAAUUAUCUAAUUAAAUUCUAACUAAUGAACACACUGUGCAAGAUUUUAUUUCAUGUUCCAUGGCAAAAUUUAAAUGCCGCUUGGUCAUGAAAUUUUUUUAAUUUUUUCAGAAUUUAUAACUCUACAGACCUUGCAUUAUUUCUAUAGAAUUUGAUUCAUCUUUUUUUAAAAAAAAUAGAUAAUUUUCUAGCUCAAAUAAGUAUUUUUCUUUCUUUUUGCUUUUUUUUUUCUAAAAAGUUUUCUUCUCCUUUUUAAAAUUUUUGAUUCAAUAAAUCAACUUUUCACCUUCCAUUAUACUCCCUCCAUCCCAAAUUAUCCGUCCCAAAUUUCCUAAUUUGAUUUUCCAUUUUACUUGUCUUUUUUUAUUAAUUAAGACAAGACAAUUUUUUUUUUGACAUUAAUUACUUUUUCUUCAAAUUAAACUGUAAACAUCAUUUAAUAGGUUUACUAUGGUAAACUAGGCAUAUUAUUAAUUAUUUUUCUUAAUCAAUAUGUCAUCUCAAUUUGGAACGGGUAAUUUGAGAGGUAGGAAGUAAUUGUUUUCUUAAUAUAUCACUACAAGAAAAUGGCUAAAUUGUGACAGCGAUUUUAGUCACAAAUCUGUCACAAAUCAUUGAUUGUGAUGGAUUUGUGAUGAAAAAAUGUGUCUCAGAACCUUUGGUUAUAAAAUCAUUGUGACAGAUUUAAUUUUCGUCACAAAAAUAUUGGGACAAAACUGAGACAGAUCGUCCGUCACAAUAUAAAUCCUUAAAUUUGACUUAAAUUCCGUCACAAAUAUAUAAAAGAUUUGUGACAGAAUAUUCCAUUAUAAAAUAAUGACAGAAUAAUUUCCAUAAUAAAUAUUCAAACGUAGUCACCACAAUUGUGACAAUAUAUAUCGUUAUAAAUAAUUUGUGACAGACUAAUUCAGUCACAAUAUGACUCUUUUAUCUAUAUUAGUAACAAAUUUAGGAUAGAUUGUGACAAAUUAAAUCUGUCACAAAUUUUAUGAAAAAAGUGUAAAGUAAAUUAAAACAUGCAAAAUCAUAACUUCAAUAAGUAAAAGUCUACCAAUGUUUAAAAUUUAAAACAUAUAACUAUCCAAAAAAGUGUGACAAUGUUCAAGUCGACCCUUGAAGUUAUAAAUAAAGUCCUAAAAUAUUAAAAACUUAAGCAUUAGAUGAGUCCCUAUUAGGGAGAGUAGGAUUACUAAAUGAGCGAGAAGAUAAUGUCAUAUCGCUCAUCAUGCGAGACCAUUGCUCUUUCAUAGAUUUGAAUCGAUCAUCACUUUGUUGCCUCAAACGGGAAACCUCUUGCUCUACUCGUUGUUGCACCUCCAACUCUACUUGCUCUUGAAGAACUCUAUCUUGAUUUUCUCUCAUAUACGGCCUCUUCUCAAGUAUUUUGAUGUGAUCUUCGGCAACAUGAUCGGACACUACAGCAGGCAAAAUGCACGUCAUAUCUUUAUACAAGAUUGAAGCUUGAGAGCCCACUCCAUACACAUUAUUUUUUUGCUCCACCCACAAUAUCAAAGUACAUGCGAUUUAUAUCGAGUUCUUGAUCUUCUGAUGAAUCAUCUGUUGAUCCCGAAAGAGCAGUAGCUAUGACAGCCUCCAUUUUAUUCUAAAAAAUACAAAUAAUCAGCCAACAGAAAUAUUAUGAAAAUAACCAGCCCAUAUGAUACACUUGCUAAAACAAGAAGAUAAAUCACUUUUGCAGGUCAGAUCUUUGUAGGUGCAAUACUGGAACUACAUAUGUAUUAUAUUUACAAAAUGCACAAAUCAUUCUGAAGUAUUUGCUUGCUUGAACUGUGUAGUAUAGGAAGCAACUGAUAAUUAUUGUUCAUGUUUGUGAUUACUGUUUCCUAUAGCAUUAGAUGUUAUGUAAUCAGAGGAUUCUCAACCGAACGUCUCACUUAUUGGAAAAUAGUCUAUAUUACUACCUGUCUAGUUUGGAAGCAAAUGAAGAUGUUUGCUUAUUGAUGUUGAAUGAAUGGCCUUUGUUGUUCAUGUGUUGAUUACAACUAGUUCUGUAUAGCAAAAAUUGUAAAAACCACAACAAACCAAAAUAUCAAAUCAAACUGACUGAAGGAUCUGACAUAUUGGUUUGAUUGGAGGAAAAAAUACAACCAAACUAUUUGACAUAUACAUGUGUUGUUUGUUUUUGUGUCUGUAUAAUAUAUUGAGUCAGUAUAGCCGAUCAAUUUUCAUUUUUAUGUUAUUUUCAUGGUCACGUUAUUAUUAUUAUGUAUUCUUGAAAUAAUUCAACAUUUCCUAUGUUUUCAUUUUCACGAGCCUAGAUUAUGAUGGUCUCAAUUUGACUUUUGUUUUCUCUUUUGAUGUUUAUAUGAGUCAUUACUUCAUAUUUAAUUAUCCAAAACCUGUUAACUUACAAGCAUAUUUGAAUGUGACAACAUUCUCAGAGAUGUUGCAAGUAAAGGUAUCGGUCUGCAACUCUGCUGAAGAGAAUAAGCCAAGA